UUGUACAAUGCAACCUGAACUCAGACGUGAUUACCCGCUGAACUUAAGCAUAUCAUUU
rnacentral:rRNA from 1 species